rnacentral:lncRNA from 1 species
UGGGCGGCGCUCGCACGCCGAGACCAAGGCGGGGACAGGCAGUUUAUGGAGAGGUCACUGAAGGUGGGCUGGAAGGAGAGCCUGGAAGGAGGCUCUAGCGGACGGGAAGACACUGUGGUAGUUACUAAAGGUAGUGUGGGAAGACACUUUCUGCCGGAAGACACACGACAUGAAGAUGGUAGCAUUGGCUACUGAAGGAGAGAGAUUCUUUGUUCUCAUAGGCGACAUAGAUGCAGGGUGGAGGGAGUUCUAGCUUUCUCACGCGUGAGCCAGAAAAGUUUAAAAAGCCAAAUAGCCCAGUACAAAGGGAGCAUAUUGUAGCUCCAUGAUGUGCAUUUUCGGAGAAUCCAACUGUAUACAGAAUGUUAGUGUUGAAGAAUGAAAAAUUACUGGCCUCUUGUAAGAACAUGAACUUUUUACCUCGGAGCCCACCCCCUCCCAUCUAGAAAACAUUUUUGAGAUAAAGGCUUCCUGGAACAACCUCAAAAUGAACCAGUGUCUUCUUGGGUACGCGGCUGUCCCGGGACUUAAGUGUCUGAGGGAGGGUCUCCCUUCGAGGGUCUUUCAUUUGGUGCAUUGGCCGGGAAACAGCGCGACCACCCAGAGGUCCUAGACCCACUUAGAGAUCAACAGCUGCCCUGCCUCCCACUCCAACUCCAGAGAGCAGCCAGCGGGUCACAGUGGUCCCGCCCAUGGACCUGGAGCCUAGGGAAAAAUGAGCUCGGAAAUCCGGAGCAAAUGAGGAGUGGUCCCUGAGAAGUCAGUGGCCCUGGAUGUUGUGGCUGCUGAAAAAAAAAAAAAAAGAAGAGGAGGCUGUUCGAGUAGCGGCCAAGAGCGCUGCAGGUUCCCAGGCAGCUUCUCAUUCCCCUGUCCCUCCCAUCCCGUCUCUUGUUAACAGAAAAACUGCUUUCACUUUAAGAUAAGUGCCGGUUGCAGCCAGCUGUGAGAGCUGCACUCCCGUCUCUGCUCUAAAGUUCCCUCUUCUCAGAGGGUGGCACCACCCUGAGUUGCUGGCAGUGAGUCUGUUCCAAGUUCCAGUGAGGGAGGCAUCCACCCACUUGGGGCUUCUGUCCAAGGUAAGGAGCACCUGUGAAUCUAACUGCCAGGCUCUGAUGGGGGUCUCGUCUCUGUGGGACUAGAAAGUGUCCCAACAAUCUGACCAAGGUAACAGGAAGUUAAGACAAAGACAGAGAUCAGAGUCAGAAUCAGAGCUGUGCUGUGAGACAGAUAGAUAAGAGAAGUAAAAUGCUGGUCACAAAAGUCAGGAAAAUUAGAAAACUUAGAUAGUACCUGGCAACAAAAGAAAGCUUUUGGCUAAAGAUCAACGUGUAUACUGUAAAGAAAAUGAGCACUGGGUGAGAGACUGCCCCAACAAAAAGAAGAGGAGCCCCCCUCAUGACCAAACCCUUCACCUGUUCGUGGCUAAAAAUAAAGAGAUAACAAAAGGGGUGCUAACACAGAAGCUGAGUCCUUAAAAGAGUCCGGUGGCCUACCUGUUGAAGCAGCUAAAAAAGAGACUGUGUUUCAUACUCCUCCACCGACCAGUGCAAAACAAGCUAAAAAGUUCCUGGGCACUGCGGGCUUUUGCAGAUUGUGGAUUCCAGGUUUUGCUGAGUUAAAGAGAUAAACAGCCCUUCGUAUAGAAAAAUAAAGAACAAUCUUAGAUGGCCUUGGAUGCUCUUGAGACUGCCCUAAUGUUGUCCCCAACUUUGGGACUCCUAGAUGUGACUGAGAACAAAGGUAUUGCCAAAGAAGUUCUUACUCAGAGAUUGGGACCCUGAAAAAGACCUGUGGCAUACUUGUAAGAAAUUAGACCUGGUGGCUGUAAGAUGGCCUGCUUGUCUGCACAUAGUGGCUUCUGGUCAAGGACGCAGAUAAAUUGACUCUGAGACAAAACUUGGCACAUGUCCUAGAAAGUGUGGUUCAGCCCCCAUGACCGAUGGCUGACUAACGCUCUUGAAAGCAUUAUCCAACUGUUCCCCUGACGGAUGGACACAUUGUCAGAGCUUUUUGUUGACUGAACGAGUGACCUUCGCUCCCCCUGCUAUCCUCGAUCUCACUACUGCCUGAGACUUCACCUACUCAUCAUUGUGCUGACAUUCUGGCAGAAGGAACUCAUACUCGAAAUGAUCUGAAGGAUCAGAUCAGCCUUGGCCUGAGAGUUUGAGCUGGUACACGGAUGGCAGUAGCCUGGAGGUUGAGGGUAAGCGGAAGGCGGGGACAGCAGUGCAGUGAUGGACAGAAAGCAAGUGAUCUAGGCCAGCAGCCUCCCUAAAGGGACUUCAGCCCACAAAGCCAAACUUGUGGCUUUAAUACAAGCUCUGUAAAUGGUAAAAAAAAAAAGUCUACACGGACAGCAGGUAUGCUCUUGCCACUGUACAGAGCAAUAUACAGACAAAGAGAACUGUUGACAUCUGCAGAGAAAGACCUAAGAUGCUGUGGCUAAAAAAAUCAGGUGGCAAAUCUAACCGCCCAGGCAUCCUAAAGAGCAAUGAUCCUGACAGUCUGAAGACUAUCAAGUUAUAGACAAAUUAAGACUGGUAAAAGAAACCCUGUAUGACAUAGUAGAAACUGAAAAAAGAAAACUAGUCCUCUCAUGAAAAGACAGACCUGACAUCUACUGAAAAAUAGACUUUACUGGAAAAAAUAUGUGUAUGAAUACCUUCUGGUUUUUGUGAACGUUCUCAAGAUAGAUAAAAGCUUUUCCUUGUAAAAAACUGAGACUACUCAGAUAGUCAUCAAGAAGAUUAUUAAAAAUUUUCCAAGGUUCGGAGUGCCAAAAGCAAUAGUGUCAGAUAAUGGUCCUGCCUUUGUUGCCCAGGUAAGUCAGGGUGUGGCCAAGUAUUUAGAGGUCAAAUGAAAAUUCCAUUGUGUGUACAGACCUCAGAGCUCAGGAAAGAUAAAAAAGAAUAAAUAAAACUCUAAACAGACCUUGACAAAAUUAAUCCUAGAGACUGGCACAGACUUACUUGGUGCCCCUUCCCCUUGCCCUAUUUAAAACUGAGAAUACUCCCUCUUGAUUCAGUUUUACUCUUUUUGAGAUCCUUUAUGGGGCUCCUGUGCCCAUCACUGUCUUAAAUGAUGUGUUUAAACCUAUGUUGUUAUAAUAAUGAUCUAUAUGUUAAGUUAAAAGGCUUGCAGGUGGUGCAGAAAGAAGUCUGGUCACAACUGGCUACAGCGAACGAGCCAGGUACCCCAAGGACAACUCACCAGUUCCAGCCAGAGAUCUGAUCUACAUACACCUGCGUCAUGCUGAGACCCUCAAGCCUCACUAGAAGGGUCCCUGCCUAGUUCUGUUUACUAAUCUGCCUUAUUCUGUUUUUGCUCCCAUGUUAAAGAUAGAGUAAAUGCAGUAUUCUCCACAUAGAGAUAUAGACUUCUGAAAUUCUAAGAUUAGAAUUACUUACAAGAAGAAGUGGGGAAUGAAGAAUGAAAAAUUACUGGCCUCUUGUAAGAACAUGAACUUUUUACCUCGGAGCCCACCCCCUCCCAUCUAGAAAACAUUUUUGAGAUAAAGGCUUCCUGGAACAACCUCAAAAUGAACCAGGUACUCCUUAGUUACGUAGGUUCCUUGAUAGGACAUGACUCCUUAGUUACAUAGAUUCCUUUGGCAGAACUCCCUAGUGAUGUAAACUUGUACUUUCCCUGCCCAGUUCUCCCCCUUUGAGUUUUACUAUAUAAGCCUGUGAAAAAUUUUGGCUGACCGUCGAGACUCCUCUACCCUGUGCUAAGGUGUAUGAGUUUCGACCCCAGAGCUCUGUGUGCUUCCAUGUUGCUGCUUUAUUUCGACCCCAGAGCUCUGGUCUGUGUGCUUUCAUGUUGCUGCCUUAUUAAAUCUUGCCUUCUACAUUU